ACUGAAGUAUGCUCUUGCAUCACAUAAGACUAGUAAGGAAGCCAAAGAAGAAGUCAAUAAACUCAAGGAGGAACUCUAUUUGGCCAAGGGUGAGAUCAGAGAGCUUUAUCAUUCGUUGGAUGCGAAGAGGCCAACAGUUAGUGAUCUCUGGAGUGAGCUUAUUAGGGCUAAGAGAACGAUUGUCGAUCUUUCUGGAGCCCUUCAUAAGGAUAGAUCCACACUAACCAAACUCUGAAUUCAGCUUGC
rnacentral:lncRNA from 1 species